GUGCCUGAUAUUGAAGGGUUUUCCUUUAUACCCAACCGACUUUUGAUCAGAGGGUCGCUGGUUCGAUUCCAGCCGGGCUCACCA
rnacentral:tRNA from 1 species